rnacentral:rRNA from 1 species
GACGUAGGGGCGCGAGCGUUUGUCCGGAUUUAUUGGGCGUAAAGGGCUCGUAGGCGGUCUGUCGCGUCGGGAGUGAAAACUCAGGGCUUAACCCUGAGCCUGCUUCCGAUACGGGCAGACUAGAGGUAUGCAGGGGAGAACGGAAUUCCUGGUGUAGCGGUGGAAUGCGCAGAUAUCAGGAGGAACACCGGUGGCGAAGGCGGUUCUCUGGGCAUUACCUGACGCUGAGGAGCGAAAGUGUGGGGAGCGAACAGG